GCUUGGGCGCCUGCGCGGAGCUGGUAACCCGGAAGUGCUCCAGCGGGUGCCCUGUCUGCGCUCGCGGUGGGGCCCUGCAGGCUGUGAGCCCCUCGGCCGCGCCGCCUCCCGCCCCCGCCAUGUCCCGAGGCUCCAGCGCCGGCUUCGACCGCCACAUCACCAUCUUCUCGCCCGAGGGCCGCCUCUACCAAGUCGAAUAUGCUUUUAAGGCCAUAAACCAAGGUGGACUUACGUCUGUAGCUGUUCGUGGGAAAGAUUCCGCAGUAAUUGUAACACAGAAGAAAGUACCUGACAAGUUACUGGAUUCUAACACAGUGACUCAUUUAUUCAGAAUUACUGAAAAUAUUGGCUGUGUGAUGACAGGAAUGACAGCUGACAGCAGAUCCCAGGUGCAGAGAGCCCGCUAUGAGGCUGCUAACUGGAAGUACAAGUAUGGCUAUGACAUCCCUGUGGAUAUGCUGUGUAAAAGGAUUGCAGAUAUUUCUCAGGUCUAUACGCAAAAUGCUGAAAUGAGGCCUCUUGGUUGCUGUAUGAUUUUGAUUGGUAUCGAUGAAGAACACGGCCCUCAGGUAUACAAGUGUGAUCCGGCAGGUUACUAUUGUGGAUUCAAGGCCACAGCUGCAGGAGUUAAACAGACAGAGUCAACCAGUUUUCUUGAAAAGAAAGUAAAGAAGAAAUUUGAUUGGACAUACGAACAAACAGUAGAGGUAGGCCAGCAGAAGGAAAUAAAGAUUUGUUAAAGUAUUUUUAAUGAAUAUGCUGUAUGUAGGCUUGUGAUAUAGAGGAAUGCAGUUAUCUUCAUGUUAGAAAGCAUUUCAAAGAGGAUGGGGUAGUGCUUGUCUGUCAGUUUAGUAAAUAUAACACCAGUUGUUAUGCCUACUGUGAAAACUGUUGUUCAAGGCCCAUUAUAAAAAUGUAUCCUGCUUAUAACAUAGGUCAAUGAACUUAUUUUAUAAAUCAGCCUUACUUUUUCACUUACACUGUAGAGAUCUGUCUAAACAGUCCUUUUCCAUGGCCCACCUGUUUUUCCUGCCAGGCCUUGUUCUUCUCUCAUAAUAUUAUAUUUCCUGCAUCACAAGAUCAGCAGUUGAAAUGAGGAGUAAUAACCUAAGUAACUGACUCUCUUGUAAGAUUAAACAGAGUAUUGUAUUAAGAUCCCUGUGAGUGCUAUGCAGAUUCAGACCUUCAGCUAAAUUACUUCUGAAGUCUACAUUACUGUGAAAGUACCAUUUAAAUGGAAAGUUCCUCAGCAUAAACUCAUAAGUUUUAUAUGUACAUCUUACUAAGUACUGAUUUCCUUAAUUUGUGAUUUCUUUAAAGAGAAGAUCCUGAGAGAGUUAUGUAAUCAUAGCAUACUGAAAUUGAAUAUAUUUGAAAUUACCUCAGAGACCUUUUUUAUCCUGGCUAAAUGUUUUUCACAUUAAAUAUAUUUUUCUGUCACUGCUUGAUUAUACUGUGCAUGUUUCUUAGUUGAGCGGUUGGAGGUAGAUGAAACAGUCUUUUCAUAUUCUUGUUUUUAAUUCAUAAAACUUCCAUGGUAUGGUGCAAAUACUUAAUUGGAAGUUAAUCUGCCAGUCAAAUCCUGGGUGCGCUUCUAUACCUUUUGUUAUCUUUGUAAGAAUGCUGAUAUUGUGAAUGUAGAUCAGACACUGUUACUCUAAAAGUUGGCAGUGACAGGGAGAAGCAAGUCUGUCAAGCAAAAACAAGAAUCACAUUUUUGUAAUGUUCUUCACGCACGCACUGUCUUUUGUUUCCAAGCUUGUGUUGCGUUAGAGGUAAUGCUCCAAGGAUAAGAAUUUUGUUUGGGGUUUUUUGUGGGUUUUUUUGUUUGAGGGGUUUUUGUUUUUUCUAACAACUUUGCAGUCUUCUGGUAAGACAUCUAUAUAGUUUUACAGAAUUAUUGCAGAAUCAAUGUAUUAUCAACAUAUUGAAAAUAAACUUUGAAAAGUCUUGUCUAGUGUUCUACACUUCCUCACACAUUACUGAUCAGAAUUAAAUGCCAGCAUGUCAGAAUAACUGAUAUGAUAAGCAUCUAGCUACAUAGCUGUUUUAUGGAACUUCUUUUUGUGCUCAAUCAUCAUUUUAGGAAUACAUCUUUAGCAUUAUUAUGACCCUACUGCAGGGUUAAGUAUGAGUGAGGUUGGAACACCUUUUAAAACAGGUGAUGAUUAGGGUGGAAAAAAACCAAGUUAAGCCAUGAUGAAAUGCAGCUUUUAAAAACAGAACAUAAUUUUAAUUAACAGAAAAAAAGCCAAAAUGGAAGCUAUGCAAGUGACAUGUGCUUUGAGUAAUCUUGAACUGUAAUGAUUAUGUCUGUCUUGUUUGCCACUAAUGAAAUGUGUUCUGUCCUUGGGACCUGGGGUUUUAAUCUUUGCAUGAUAAAAGGUUUUUGGUUUUGUUGUGGGUUUUUUCUGCUAUGAAAAUGGUAUGUCCCUUUGGUUUUUUUAGAUUGGGCUUUUUAGUGAGAGCACUGGAGAGGGACUGUGUUCUGUAACAAGGGGAAACUAUUUGAAACUUUUCAGCUGAGGUGUUGAGGUGGAAGAAAAUAACUUAAAACUAGAAGGAGGGGUAGUUGUUAAUGCUAUGUCUAUU